AGCGAAAUAAUAGUAGCGAAGUUCCUGAUGUCACACUGCCAAGAAAAGCUUCUAGUGAGAAAACAACUGCCCGUACCGUAAACCGACACAGGUAGUCGAGGAGAGUAUCCUAAGGUGAGCGAGCGAACUCUCGUUAAGGAACUCGGCAAAAUGACCCCGUAACUUCGGGAGAAGGGGUGCUGACUUCGGUCAGCCGCAGUGAAUAGGCCCAAGCGACUGUUUAUCAAAAACACAGGUCUCUGCAAAAUCGUAAGAUGAAGUAUAGGGGCUGACGCCUGCCCGGUGCUGGAAGGUUAAGAGGAUGGGUUAGCUUCGGCGAAGCUCAGAAUUGAAGCCCCAGUAAACGGCGGCCGUAACUAUAACGGUCCUAAGGUAGCGAAAUUCCUUGUCGGGUAAGUUCCGACCCGCACGAAAGGCGUAACGAUUUGGGCACUGUCUCAACGAGAGACUCGGUGAAAUUUUAGUACCUGUGAAGAUGCAGGUUACCCGCGACAGGACGGAAAGACCCCAUGGAGCUUUACUGUAGUUUGAUAUUGAGUGUUUGUACCACAUGUACAGGAUAGGUAGGAGCCGAUGAGACCGGAACGCUAGUUUCGGAGGAGGCGCUGGUGGGAUACUACCCUUGUGUUAUGAACCCUCUAACCCGCACCACUAAUCGUGGUGGGAGACAGUGUCAGAUGGGCAGUUUGACUGGGGCGGUCGCCUCCUAAAAGGUAACGGAGGCGCCCAAAGGUUCCCUCAGAAUGGUUGGAAAUCAUUCGAAGAGUGUAAAGGCAGAAGGGAGCUUGACUGCGAGACCUACAAGUCGAGCAGGGACGAAAGUCGGGCUUAGUGAUCCGGUGGUUCCGCAUGGAAGGGCCAUCGCUCAACGGAUAAAAGCUACCCUGGGGAUAACAGGCUUAUCUCCCCCAAGAGUCCACAUCGACGGGGAGGUUUGGCACCUCGAUGUCGGCUCGUCGCAUCCUGGGGCUGUAGUCGGUC
rnacentral:rRNA from 1 species